UUCAGUGUUAUUUUAUGAUGUUAAAAGAGGAGGCUUAAAAGAGUAGUCUCUCCAUCCAAAUAACUGUCCCCAUUUUUUGCAAGUGGCGGACAUUUUAGGACUAGCAAAAAUAUAUUAAAAAAAUACAAAUUCAAUAUAUUUAUAUAUUGAAUAUAUUCCUAAAUAUACUAAUAAUAUAUAAUAAAAAAAAGUCUAUAACUGAGUUUUUGUCAAUCUUUAAAUCCGUU
rnacentral:lncRNA from 1 species